AGAGCGAACGCUGGCGGCAGGCCUAACACAUGCAAGUCGAGCGCCCGUAGCAAUACGGGAGCGGCAGACGGGAUAGUAACACGUGGGAACGCGCCCUUCGGUUCGGAAUAACUCAGGGAAACUUGAGCUAAUACCGGAUACGCCCUUACGGGGAAAGAUUUAUUGCCGAAGGAACGGCCCGCGUCCGAUUAGCUAGUUGGUGAGGUAAUGGCUCACCAAGGCGACGAUCGGUAGCUGGUCUGAGAGGAUGACCAGCAUCACUGGGACUGAGACACGGCCCAGACUCCUACGGGAGGCAGCAGUGGGGAAUAUUGGACAAUGGGCGCAAGCCUGAUCCAGCCAUACCGCGUGGAUGAUGAAGGCCUUAGGGUUGUAAAGUCCUUUAACGGGAAGAUAAUGACGGUACCGUAGAAUAAGCCCGGCUAACUUCGUGCCAGCAGCCGC
rnacentral:rRNA from 1 species